UACGUAGGGGGCUAGCGUUGUCCGGAAUCAUUGGGCGUAAAGAGCGUGUAGGCGGCCUGGUAAGUCCGCUGUGAAAGUCGGGGGGCUCAACCCUCGAAUGCCGGUGGAUACUGUCGGGCUAGAGUGCGGAAGAGGCGAGUGGAAUUCCUGGUGUAGCGGUGAAAUGCGCAGAUAUCAGGAAGAACACCCGUGGCGAAGGCGGCUCUCUGGGACGUGACUGACGCUGAGACGCGAAAGCGUGGGGAGCGAACAGG
rnacentral:rRNA from 1 species